UGUUGUUGGGCCUUUUCAGCGGUGGCAGCAACAGAAGGAAUUACUCAGCUUACAACAGGUAAACUCAUCUCUUUGUCUGAGCAAGAGCUUGUUGAUUGUGACACCAAUGGCGAAGACCAAGGCUGCGAGGGUGGUUUAAUGGAUGAUGCCUUUCAGUUCAUUCAACAAAAUCAUGGGCUUAGUACGGAAGCUAACUACCCCUACAGCGGUGUUGAUGGUACGUGCAACACCAAGAAAGAAGCCAGCAUUGCAGCCAAGAUAACUGGCUAUGAAGACGUGCCUGCAAACAGUGAACAAGCCCUUCUCAAGGCUGUUGCUAAUCAACCCGUCUCUGUUGCCAUUGAUGCAAGUGGUUCUGACUUCCAAUUCUAUUCAAGUGGUGUCUUUACCGGCACAUGUGGAACAAGCCUGGAUCAUGGUGUUACUGCUGUUGGUUAUGGAGUCGGUGAUGAUGGGACUAAGUUUUGGUUGGUGAAGAAUUCAUGGGGCACAGAAUGGGGCGAAGAAGGCUACAUAAGAAUGCAAAGAGAUGUUGAUGCAGCAGAAGGACUUUGUGGCAUUGCUAUGUCUGCCUCUUACCCUACUGCAUGA
rnacentral:lncRNA from 1 species